rnacentral:misc_RNA from 1 species
GGGGUAUAUAGAGUAACCAUGGUGAGCAUUCUCAAAUACUUCAAGCACAGAUUUCAAUAGUCCCUUCUCUUUAUCAGAAACAAAAGUUAAGGAUUGUGAAGUAGAAAUAGCAGAUCUCAACUGCUCCAAAAACCAAUGCCAAUUAUUAUCAUUCUCAAUAUCUACUAUAGCAAAUGCAACCGGAAAAGCACUAUCGUCCCCAUCUAAUGC